AGAUCUUUAACAAUCCGUCAAUUAGAUUGAAAAGAAUUUUUUUUGUAUAGAGAUUAGACUUAAUUUCCAACAAUUUAAGUAAAUUUUGAAAGAAAUUCAAUGAUUCAAAAGGAGAGAUAUUAGUAUUAGAAGUUCAACAUUGAGAUUGGAAUAGGAGGCUAGCCAAUAUUCAAGCAAAUUUUAGGAUUUUUCCUCCAUUUGGUAAUUACAAUUAUCUUCAAAUUUAUUGUACUUAUUUUUAACUAAGAGAUUGAAUUACAAAAGAAAUUAAAAUUAGCACAAGAUCAAUGAUUUAAUCAAUAGAUAUUAAAAUUUUAAUCUAUCUUAGGAUUGAUUUGAGUU
rnacentral:lncRNA from 1 species